GGUUAAAGCCCAGUCAAUCAGUUUCAAUUUUCAAAUCGAGGUCACAUUUUUCGCUCUAUACUCUGCUCCCGCUCCGCAUUUGUCGACUCCUGCGAUUACUUACCCUAGCUUCUAGAUCUUUUGCUCUUCAUCCCCGCUCUCAUGUAUUUUACGAAUAGGGCGUAGGCUGUUGAGUGAUCAAAUAUGGCAGAACUGAGCUUGGGUAUUCUUAUUGAUGUUGUUGAUGAGGAAUGGAUGAGAGAUACACUUCCUGAUGAUGAUCUUCCACUGCCUCCAACACUGAUAGUGCGAACAGAUGAUACUGAGGAAUCGAACCAGGAGACUCAACAAGCCAAUGCGGAUUCUUGGCAUGAUCUUGCCAUGGGCCCAGAAUAGAAACCUUAUUUUUCUGAGUGUCGUGCUUGGCGGUAAGUAGAUGGUGUUUUCUGUAUUUUUGUGUCAUAUCAUCCGCUUUGUGCUUCUAUCAAGUCUAAUGUUGAAUUCCUAGUUUUUGUUUUGUUGUACUUAUAGAAGGAAUGUUAAUGAGAUAUCAACUUAACUUGGUGGCCUCUUGAGCUAUCUCAUUUAUUUUAUAUGAUCUAGGGUACAUAUGGUGCAUCCUACUAGCACUUAUGAUAGAUUUAUAUCCAUGCACUUUGUUCUAAAGAUGAAAAAUGGCAUAUUGAUUAGUGGUCAACCCGGA